GAUGAAGAACGCAGCGAAAUGCGAUACGUAAUGUGAAUUGCAAAUUCAGUGAAUCAUCGAGUCUUUGAACGCACAUUGCGCCCCCUGGUAUUCCGGGGGGCAUGCCUGUCCGAGCGUCAUUGCUGGCCCUCAAGCACGGCUUGUGUGUUGGGCCCCGUCCUCCGAUCCCGGGGGACGGGCCCGAAAGGCAGCGGCGGCACCGCGUCCGGUCCUCGAGCGUAUGGGGCUUUGUCACCCGCUCUGUAGGCCCGGCCGGCGCUUGCCGAUCAACCCAAAUUUUUUAUCCAGGUUGACCUCGGAUCAGGUAGGGAUACCCGCUGAACUUAAGCAUAUCAAUAAGCGGAGGA
rnacentral:misc_RNA from 1 species